rnacentral:rRNA from 1 species
AUUGAACGCUGGCGGCAGGCCUAACACAUGUAAGUCGAGCGGAUGACGGGAGCUUGCUCCUUGAUUCAGCGGCGGACGGGUGAGUAAUGCCUAGGAAUCUGCCUGGUAGUGGGGGGCAACGUUUCGAAAGGAACGCUAAUACCGCAUACGUCCUACGGGAGAAAGCAGGGGACCUUCGGGCCUUGCGCUAUCAGAUGAGCCUAGGUCGGAUUAGCUAGUAGGUGAGGUAAUGGCUCACCUAGGCGACGAUCCGUAACUGGUCUGAGAGGAUGAUCAGUCACACUGGAACUGAGACACGGUCCAGACUCCUACGGGAGGCAGCAGUGGGGAAUAUUGGACAAUGGGCGAAGGCCUGAUCCAGCCAUGCCGCGUGUGUGAAGAAGGUCUUCGGAUUGUAAAGCACUUUAAGUUGGGAGGAAGGGCAGUAAGCUAAUACCUUGCUGUUUUGACGUUACCGACAGAAUAAGCACCGGCUAACUCUGUGCCAGCCGCCGCGGUAAAAC